rnacentral:rRNA from 1 species
ACUAUAGCUUGACACUGAACAUUGAGCCUUGAUGUGUAGGAUAGGUGGGAGGCUUGGAAGUGUGGACGCCAGUCUGCAUGGAGCCGACCUUGAAAUACCACCCUUUAAUGUUUGAUGUUCUAACGUUAACCCGUGAUCCGGGUUGCGGACAGUGUCUGGUGGGUAGUUUGACUGGGGCGGUCUCCUCCUAAAGAGUAACGGAGGAGCACGAAGGUUGGCUAAUCCUGGUCGGACAUCAGGAGGUUAGUGCAAUGG